CCCAGCAGCAAGUGUUCUUAACCAUCUCUCCAGCCCAUUCUGUGUUGUGGAGAAAAGAUCCCAGUCUGUGGUCCUAAUGCGGACUGGAACUCAUUUUGUACACAAGGCUGGCCUUAAAUUUAUGUGUUUCCUUCUGGCUCUGCUUCCAAGUGCUGGGAUUAUAGGGUGUACCACAUGCUAUGCUCAGGGGUGAUUUCCCCCUGUAUCUAAGAGAGAUCCAGCAAUUACAAACCCACAAACUGUAGCUUAGAGACGGCUGCUAGGAUACCUUCUUUUAACAGAGCCCGUAAGUAAAAAGCUGAGAAACAAACAGAAGCCCAGGUCACUGGGAACUGAAGAAGACCAAUCUACUUGAUUCUGUGGAAUAUUUGGCCAACAUUCUACGUUCUAAGAGCUUGAGAUUUUAGUACACAGUGGGGGAUGAAGGCGACCUGACACCAGCAGCCAAUCAAGAGACACUUGUCUGAGAACAAAGAUGAAUGAAAACCAGGGGAGGAGCUGGCUUCCAUUCCAGAGUCUAGAGGCCAAAACCGUCUCCAGGAGCAGCCCGGCCCUGGCACAGGCUUGUGGUUCUAUCACGAAAUUAAAAACUAGGUGCGGAGAUCGGGUGUUGCGUCACACUGCCCGUAUCAGCUGACUAUGAUUGCAGGUGCUUCAGAGGGGCGUGGUCUUCCCAGCUGCAGACAGUUUCUGCGCCUGUGAGGCCUUUGGAAUUCUGGGAACGUUUCAGAGGUUAUAUAAACACUAAGGACUUUACGAGGCGGCAUAGACGAUUGUUGGUCAUUCAGGGGGUUGGGUGUGGUUAGUAGUUUGGGCUCAAAGAAAAAACAAAGGAAAGAAAUUAGACUCAGGGAUCUGUAACUGUCUCCUCUUGUGAUAGUUUGUAUGUGAUUGGCCCAGAGAGAAGCAUUUGUUGGAGUGGGUGUGGCCUUUUUGGAGGAAGUGUGUCACUGUGGGCAUGGACUUUGAGAGCUUCCUCCUAGCUGCCUGGAAGCCAGUCUUCUCCAGUUUGCCUUUGGAACAAGAUGUAGAACUCUCAGCUCCUCCUGCACCAUGCCUACCUAGGCACUGCCAUGUUCCUGCCCUGAUGAUAAUGGACUGAACCUCUGAACCUGUAAGCCAGCCAUUAAAUGUUGUCCUUAUACGAGUUCCCUUGGUCAUGGUUAUGUUCCCAGCAGUAAAACCCUAAGACACC